GACGUAGGGCGCGAGCGUUGUCCGGAUUUAUUGGGCGUAAAGAGCUCGUAGGCGGCUUGUUGCGUCGACCGUGAAAACCCGCGGCUUAACUGCGGGCUUGCGGUUGAUACGGGCGGGCUGGAGUUCGGUAGGGGAGACUGGAAUUCCUGGUGUAGCGGUGAAAUGCGCAGAUAUCGUAAGGAAGACCAGUGGCGAAGGCGGGUCUCUGGACAGUUCCUGACGCUGAGGCACGAAGGUCAGGGGAGCAAACGGG
rnacentral:rRNA from 1 species